rnacentral:rRNA from 1 species
UACAGAGGGUGCGAGCGUUAAUCGGAAUUACUGGGCUUAAAGGGUCCGCAGGCGGACCAGCAAGUCCCUUGUGAAAUCUCAGGUCUCAACCCUGAGUCUGCUAGGUAGACUGCUGGUCUUGAGUGCAAAAGGGGUCGCUGGAACUCUAGGUGGAGCGGUGAAAUGCGUAGAUAUGCGGAGGAACACCGAUGGCGAAGGCAAUCCCCUGGGCCUGUACUGACGCUCAUGCACGAGAGCGUGGGGAGCAAACAGG